GCCCUGACCUCAAAAUCAUUUUAACAACAUUGCACAAGGGGGGGGGGGCAAGAAGCAUUGUUGCAGCAAGGAGAGGGCCAAUAAACUGCUUGUCUCAAGAAUUUUUGCACGCGAUUGUAGGGUUAGGGUUAAACCUAGAGUUAGGUUUGUGUUUUCCACCACAGUAUUGUAUUUUAGUUGCGAUUUGGUGUGGAUGCUAAUAUAAAAACAUGACGUGCAAUACAGUACUAGUUUACAUUGAAACAUCUAGAUGUUUUUCCAAACGUCCCCAGAUAGGGGUUCUGAUAGGGACAAUGUGAUAAAAAACGUAGGCACCUGGGUGGGAAGAUUGACAAAAUCAUUCAUCCAAAUGUCAAAUUGCGCUGCAGUUGCCUUUGCCCCCCCCCUGAUCCUGGUGCUUAACAUUGAUAGGUCAAAUGUAAACGAGGGGCAUUUCACUCAAAAAAAGCGUACGGGAUUUUCGGAUUUUUAAAAAUCCGCGGAUUUUUUAGCGGAUUUUUCCCGGAUUUUUUAGCGGAUUUUUGAAGAGAAAAUUUGCUGGAUUUUCCGGAUUUGUUCGGAUUUUCCGGAUUUGUUCGGAUUUUUUCUGGAUUUUUGAAAAUCUGUUGGAUUUUCCGGAUUUGUUUGGAUUUUCCGGAUUUGUUCGGAUUUUAUCUGGAUUUUUUUUAAUUAUAGAGUUAUAGAGCUAGGUAACGUUUUGAACAAAUAAUCUUAAGUUGUACGACGUCAACGUUAUGCCAGAACGUCAGGGUCGAGCAGAGGACUGGGACUAGGACCACAGCCUUCAGAAACUAACAAAGGCUGGGCAUGCAGUCAUUUUGUUUAAAUUCAAACAAGUUCAUUAUUCUUUCAAAAACAGUGAAAGACAAUGGUGAAUAACUUUUGGUUUUGUAAUUAUAUUUUACAACAUAACGUCAUUGUAACAAGAACACAUAUUUAGUAGUAAUAGGCUAAAAAAACUUUAGCAUAUACUCGAGCGUAUAAAUGGAAAUGUAGAGUGGUCCAAUAAUUACGAAAUAGAAUGACAGCGAUCACGGUAAGCGUUUAGCUUUCGCUGUCCGCCAUUUUGAACGUGGCAAAGAACCUUUACGAGUAAAUUACACCAAGUACUUCAUAUAUUUUUUGUGGAUUUGCGGAUUUUUUUGAGGAUUUUGAAGGAUUUCUGUCGAUUUUUGAAGGAUUUCUGUGGUUUUUAAAGGAUUUUUCGGAUUUUGAUGGAUUCAUCGGAUUUUGAGGAUUUCAUGGAUUUUUUCUGGAUUUUUCCCGGAUUUUUUGACGAAGUGUACGGGAUUUUUGGAGUGAAUUGCCCCGAGGGGCAUUUCACUCCAAAAAAGCGUACGGGAUUUUCGGAUUUUUAAAAAUCCGCGGAUUUUUUAGCGGAUUUUUCCCGGAUUUUUUAGCGGAUUUUUGAAGAGAAAAUUUGCUGGAUUUUCGGGAUUUGUUCGGAUUUUCCGGAUUUGUUCGGAUUUUUUCUGGAUUUUUGAAAAUCUGUUGGAUUUUCCGGAUUUGUUUGGAUUUUCCGGAUUUGUUCGGAUUUUUUCUGGAUUUUUUUUAAAUUAUAGAGUUAUAGAGCUAGGUAACGUUUUGAAC